rnacentral:rRNA from 1 species
AUGCUCGCGGCGGGCAUCAUCAGGCUCUCCACCUCGCCGGUGCUUCUCGUCCGCAAGUCGGACGGCACGUGGCGUUUCUGCAUCGACUACCAUGCCCUUAAUGCCAUCACACUUAAGGACAAAUUUCCUAUUUCGGUGGUCGAUGAGCUCCUAGAUGAGCUACACGGGGCGCGCUUCUUCACCAAGCUCGACCUCCGGUCGGGGUACCACCAGGUGCGCAUGCACCCGGAUGACAUCGCCAAGACGGCGUUUUGGACUAACCACGGCCACUUCGAGUUCUUGGUGAUGCCCUUUGGCCUCACCAACGCCCCGGCGACCUUCCAGGCUCUGAUGAACGCCGUCCUCCGACCCUACUUGCGUCCGUUUGUGCUCGUUUUCUUUGAUGAUGUUCUGAUCUACAGUCCGUCUUGGGCAGAGCACCUCUAG